GUGGGGAAUAUUGGACAAUGGGCGAAAGCCUGAUCCAGCCAUGCCGCGUGUGUGAAGAAGGUCUUCGGAUUGUAAAGCACUUUAAGUUGGGAGGAAGGGCAGUAAGUUAAUACCUUGCUGUUUUGACGUUACCGACAGAAUAAGCACCGGCUAACUUCGUGCCAGCAGCCGCGGUAAUACGAAGGGUGCAAGCGUUAAUCGGAAUUACUGGGCGUAAAGCGCGCGUAGGUGGUUUUGUAAGUUGGAGGUGAAAUCCCCGGGCUCAACCUGGGAACUGCCUCCAAAACUGCAUGACUAGAGUACGGUAGAGGGUAGUGGAAUUUCCUGUGUAGCGGUGAAAUGCUUAGAUAUAGGAAGGAACACCAGUGGCGAAGGCGACUACCUGGACUGAUACUGACACUGAGGUGCGAAAGCGUGGGGAGCAAACAGGAUUAGAUACCCCUGUAGUCC
rnacentral:rRNA from 1 species